CCCUUAGAUGUUCUGGGCCGCACGCGCGCUACACUGAUGCAUUCAACGAGCCUAUCCUUGACCGACAGGUCCGGGUAAUCUUUGAAUCUGCAUCGUGACGGGGAUAGAUUAUUGCAAUUAUUAAUCUUCAACGAGGAAUGCCUAGUAGGCGCAAGUCAUCAGCUUGCGUCGAUUACGUCCCUGCCCUUUGUACACACCGCCCGUCGCUCCUACCGAUUGGGUGUGCUGGUGAAAUGUUCGGAUCGGCCGUUUGUCGCGGUUUCCGCGGCUCGUGGCUUAGACGUUCAUUAAACCCUCCCACCUAGAGGAAGGAGAAGUCGUAACA
rnacentral:rRNA from 1 species